rnacentral:lncRNA from 1 species
AUGCCUCUCACAAAAGACCUCUUUUAUCCCUCUCCAGAAGAGGAAACACAAGGAGUGCCUGAUGCAGAGCCCCAGGCACUUCAUGGAUAUGAAAUACCCAGGAUGCUAUAAAAUCGCCAGGGUCUUUAGCCAGGCACAAACAGUAGUUUUAUGUGUUGGUGGCUCCACUGUUCUCUGCCAGCCUACAGGAGAAAAAGCAAGCCUUACAGAAGAAUGUUCCUUCAGGAGGAAGCAGCAUUAA